GAUGAACGCUGGCGGCGUGCCUAAUACAUGCAAGUCGAGCGAAUGAAUUAAGAGCUUGCUCUUAUGAAGUUAGCGGCGGACGGGUGAGUAACACGUGGGUAACCUGCCCAUAAGACUGGGAUAACUCCGGGAAACCGGGGCUAAUACCGGAUAACAUUCUGAACCGCAUGGUUCGAAAUUGAAAGGCGGCUUCGGCUGUCACUUAUGGAUGGACCCGCGUCGCAUUAGCUAGUUGGUGAGGUAACGGCUCACCAAGGCAACGAUGCGUAGCCGACCUGAGAGGGUGAUCGGCCACACUGGGACUGAGACACGGCCCAGACUCCUACGGGAGGCAGCAGUAGGGAAUCUUCCGCAAUGGACGAAAGUCUGACGGAGCAACGCCGCGUGAGUGAUGGAGGCUUUCGGGUCGUAAAACUCUGUUGUUAGGGAAGAACAAGUGCUAGUUGAAUAAGCUGGCACCUUGACGGUACCUAACCAGAAAGCCACGGCUAACUACGUGCCAGCCGCCGCUGUAA
rnacentral:rRNA from 1 species